AUCGCUAGAAGAAGGAAGAUACUAAAGUGGGUGCUUUGUCACAGAGUAAUAGUAGUAAGGUAGCUCCUGUUUUCUUGGGGAAUAAUUUGCCUACACAGAGCCUAAAAGGUGGUUCAACUAUGUCCAGUCUUUGUUAAUCAUUUGUUCCAGUGUGUUUACCAGUUAAUCAUUUGUUAAUCAUUUGUUCCAGUGUGUUUACCAGUUACUGGGAAUCAUAGGCGGGGAGAGCACAGGUCCUGCUUUUGGGCUUUCCAUAGGCUGCUGGCUGCCACUGAGAAUGGGAUACUGGACUAGAUGGGCCACUGGCCUUAUCCAGCAGCUCCUUCUUACGUUUAUAUGGCAGUUAUAGGACAAAGAACACUCAACUUUUUUCAAGUGGGUUUGUUAAUGCACUAGGCAAUAUAGCACAGUUAAUUGUGCAGUUCUCAUGUUCCUAAAGACUUCAAUCCCUCCGUAAAGGCACUGUCUGUUGGUUCUUUCAUAAAACGUGUAGACUAGUUUUUUAAAAAAUUGGUAGCACUAACUACACAGCUUAACUGUAUGGAAUAAAGGCCAGUGAGUCACCUGCUUUGAAGACAUGUUGUUUAUGCUACUUGGGAAUUUGUAAGUUAUCUGUUUUGAAGCAAAUAUAGCAUUAAAAAAGAAAAUUGUGGUAGCUACCAUGCAAAUUAGAACACACACUGGAUUCACCCAGCUUUGGCACCAGCCAAAGACCAGUAUGCCUUGUAAGUAGGCUACCUUGUGCCGUACCUUACAUAAAAUUUGCUUUUUCAUGAAUGCGUUAGUUACUAGGGUUCUUCCCUUCCUAUAGACAUUUGGCUCAUUGGUGCAUUGUUUUAAAACUGAUUUUCAAUUUCAGUAUGUGGUAGUCACCUGGACUCAACGAUUUGAGGGUUGGCUUCAAAAGUGGAGGUAGAAAUAUCCUGGCUGCUAUAUACUGCAAUGAAAGGAAAACACUACAAAGUAAGAUCCUUGUGAGAAUCAAAUGUUUCCAUGCCCUUUUAUUGAUGAACCUGUGACAGGUGAGAUACUGAACAAGAAAGCAACUCUUUUCUAUCAGUGGUAUUCACUGGGGUGGAAAGAAUAAGAUGAGCUCUGUGGGGAAAACCCUGAGGUCAGAAAACCACUUCACUUAAAUAUCUGGCAGUACAUCUCAUUUGUCACAAUCUGCCUUACCAUAGCUUUCACAAAUAAUCUCUUUGAACUUCCUGCCAGAUCUCGCUACUAACUGAAGAAGCUUUAUGGACUCCCUUUUGUCCUCCUCUUUCAGUUGGUUGAGCCCAAGUAUUUCCAGCAAUGUGAGGAUACCACCAACUUCCAGGAAUUCAAUAAUGUAUCGCUGGCUGAAAAAAUGUGGAGAAGAAAGCAACAGAUCUAAAGUCUAUUUGCAACAAGAUUGCAUAAUAUGAUUUCAGUUAUUAUUUCACACUUAUUAACAGUUAAGUUUCUUUUCAUAGGCAAAGUAAUUGGCAGCUCCACUGCUUCUCUUCCUAAACACCACUUUAGUAACCCCUUUACUAAAGCAGCAGAGCUGCCAAGGGAAAGACUUUGCACUUCAGUCAUUCACUAAAUAGUGUUCCAUUCUUUACAGGAAUGCAAGCUGAUGAACUAAAGCAAUUCUAGUUUUCUUACAGGGGAAGAAAACUUUGACCAUAUUUUCCAUAUACAGAACUGGGCAUAGGUAUUCCCAAAUCCAACACUUACAACCUGGUAUCUCAGCCAAGGAGAUUAUAGGAAUGCUUCAUCUAAGAACAUUCCCUAUGGUUGUUGCUGGAGUAGUUUUUAUUCCUGAAGCCAUGCCAGUGUGCAAGUUGCAUAAUUUCAUGUUUGAUAAAAUGGUUAUUUAGGCAACAGACAAAGAAGCACCAAGCCACAGAAAGCAGAGCUUUUUAUAUUUGCCAAUCUCUUUGAUAAUAUGAUUACAUUUUCCCAAACACCACGUUCUCACUACCUCUUUCACAGCAACAUAAUGUGCUAAAAACCUCAGGAUCCUAUCCAAAUAUAGAAAUGGUACAUUUUUUUACUCACCCACUUGCAGCUGAUAGGAAGAUGCCAAUGGACUUCAAUUGUUGCUCUAGGCACGUUCCAUACAUGUAACUAUUGUGAGUUUGUGAAGGCUUUAAAUUAAAUACAUUCUGGCACACUAAA